rnacentral:rRNA from 1 species
UACGCAGGGUGCAAGCGUUAAUCGGAAUUACUGGGCGUAAAGCGUGCGCAGGCGGUGAUGUAAGACCGAUGUGAAAUCCCCGGGCUUAACCUGGGAACUGCAUUGGUGACUGCAUUGCUAGAGUAUGGCAGAGGGGGGUGGAAUUCCACGUGUAGCAGUGAAAUGCGUAGAGAUGUGGAGGAACACCGAUGGCGAAGGCAGCCCCCUGGGCCAAUACUGACGCUCAUGCACGAAAGCGUGGGGAGCAAACAGG